rnacentral:rRNA from 1 species
GGCCAGCAGCCGCGGUAAUACGUAGGUGGCAAGCGUUGUCCGGAUUUACUGGGCGUAAAGGAUGCGUAGGCGGAUAUGUAAGUCAGAUGUGAAAUUCCCGGGCUUAACUUGGGAACUGCAUUUGAAACUGCAUGUCUAGAGUGCAGGAGAGGAAAGUGGAAUUCCUAGUGUAGCGGUGAAAUGCGUAGAGAUUAGGAAGAACACCAGUGGCGAAGGCGACUUUCUGGACUGUAACUGACGCUGAGGCAUGAAAGCGUGGGGAGCAAACAGGAUUAGAUACCCUGGUAGUCCACGCUGUAAACGAUGGGUACUAGGUGUGGGAGGUAUCGACUCCUUCCGUGCCGCAGUUAACACAAUAAGUACCCCGCCUGGGGAGUACGGUCGCAAGAUUAAAACUUAAAGGAAUUGGCGGGGGA